rnacentral:rRNA from 1 species
GACGAACGCUGGCGGCGUGCUUAACACAUGCAAGUCGAACGGUAAGGCCCCAGCUUGCUGGGGUACACGAGUGGCGAACGGGUGAGUAACACGUGGGUGACCUGCCCCGCACUUCGGGAUAAGCCUGGGAAACUGGGUCUAAUACCGGAUAGGACCGCACCGUGAGGGUGUGGUGGAAAGUUUUUCGGUGUGGGAUGGGCCCGCGGCCUAUCAGCUUGUUGGUGGGGUAAUGGCCUACCAAGGCGGCGACGGGUAGCCGGCCUGAGAGGGUGGACGGCCACAUUGGGACUGAGACACGGCCCAGACUCCUACGGGAGGCAGCAGUGGGGAAUAUUGCACAAUGGGCGGAAGCCUGAUGCAGCGACGCCGCGUGGGGGAUGACGGCCUUCGGGUCGUAAACUCCUUUCACCAUCGACGAAGGUUUUCUGACGGUAGAUGGAGAAGAAGCACCGGCUAACUACGUGCCAGCAGCCGCAGUAA